CGCCCUAGUCCAAUCCGAUUCAACCACUCACCUCUCUUCGCAGGAUGUACGGGCUCCGCCUUACUCAGGAUCGUCGACAAGCAUCGAGUUACCCUGUUCUAUUUCACAUCAAUUCAAUCAAGAUAAUUGUCGAAUUGAAACAUCUCCAAAUACCACUUCGCCAGUUAUACUUUAUGGAGAUGCAUAGGCGUGAAUUAUAGAGACACAUACGUAUCUACGAGUAUCAUAUAUCUGCGCUUUUGGCACGUCUCUAUGCACAUUCGCUUCAUCGAAAUGGCAAUCGGCGAGCAGAAUCAGCCAACAAUGUUAUACGGCCCUGCUCGCUAACCGUAAGCGGUGUGGUGUGGCCUGCAGAAACCUGUUCAGCUUUGAACUUUUCUAUUUUCUUGGCGAUUAUUUUUAUCUGCUGAGAAUCGCAUGCAGACAAGCAGAUAAGCAAGCAGACAGGCAACCAGGCAAGUAAGCAGACAGACGAGCCAGCCAGCCAGGUGUCGCACUACGUCGUGUUGCGCCACAUUGGCUCUGCCGGAAGCGGGCCAUUCUGAAAACUACCAACCAACAGCCAGCCGGAUAUAAGGCUAUCAGUAUGAGUGAGCCCAGGAGCAUGUGCACAGAAUCAAGCGAUGCUCGAUCGCACAGCAGCUGAAAGGAGGAGACGAGAAUUUUUCCCGACAACAAUACUUAAUGAUCGCGCUGUGCAAGUUUGUUUCCCACGUUAAUAUCGGCAAUCCACACCACGAAUGCAGACAGUGAGGAAGAUUUUUCUCAGGAGAAAUCCCCCUCACAAGCUAGCAUAAACAGUGUGACAUUAACAUUGGCCCCCAGCAGACCUACAGGAUAAAUAGGGGUGAACCUGUAUUACAGGACAAUAACCAUCGCUUGGCAGAAUAGCCGUGCGUAAUUCGAACGAAAAAAAGGAGGAGCAGAGGAGGUAAAGGCGGAGCCCGGUUUUCUCGAGGGGUCGUUGGACCAGGGCGCUAUGUGGAUUAUCAUAAUAAAGGAUACGUAAGGGAAGUGUACUUCUUUAUUUCUGCGCACGCGGUAUAAUUCGAGAACAUGCAGACAUUGUCCUGUGAUGAAAUGACAAAAUGUAACGCACAAGAUCUUUGGAUGGAAUCGUAAUGACAAUUGGGAAGAAUUCUUUCAAAGCAGCUAAUUUAAUCGACAGUUUCAAACACGUAUGAAAAUCUAUUUUAAAAAUUAAUAAGCGUGAAAUUUUCGAAG